rnacentral:lncRNA from 1 species
CCUUUUUUAAUGUUUAACAAUGUUGCUUCUUUCUCUUUUAAUUAUCUCUUGGAUACUGGCCAAGGAACAUUAUCUGUCUAGAAAGGAUGGAUGUCUGUGAAUGGAGUUAUGAGUCUGUUCAUGAGUUUCCGGGCCUGAUGUAUGCUGGCAUGAUGACUAUUUGCUAGAGAUGGUUGGACUUUUAAUGAGGAAUUUGGUUGAGGUGUGGGUGGGGUCAUCAAGUACUCUGUAGUUGGCGCUGAAUUUUGUGGUUUGUAAUUGAUGGAUUGCUUGUUGACUAUUCUGUGUGUUUUACUCUUGGGAUUUGGUGUUUAUGUUUUUGAGGGAAUAGUGAGAGGUUUGAUAUGGCUCAUGGAUGAUGAUUGGUGUAUGGUUGUGCUGUGCUUUGAUAUAC